UCCAAUGUGGUGUAGUGGCUAACAUUGCUGUCUUUCAUCUGCGUUUCGGAAAUUGUAACACAGCAGCCCGGGGUUCGAUUCCCCGCAUUGGAA
rfam:Gymnopus luxurians FD-317 M1 unplaced genomic scaffold GYMLTscaffold_24, whole genome shotgun sequence.